GGGUCGGUGGCGUAGUUGGUUAUCGCAUCUGUCUAACAUUGCUCUCCUCCAAGGUUUGCCCUUGAGUGCACAGAAGGUCCUCAGUUCGAACCUGGGCCGACUCA